UGUGUGUGUGUGUGUGUGUGUGUGUGUGUGUGUGUGUGUGGACUUGAGUCUUGGUAACAGCAGCAGGGGAUGUGGGUGGAAAAGGGCUUUCCCGAUGCCACGGAACAGAGAAAAGCUUGUUACUCUUCUGUAAACAUGGACUCAAAUGAUCUUUACUGUGCUGCACAAACACACGCACAUACAAACACAUGCCGGGUGCGUCAAAUAAGGCCGACUGGAACACACACGAGAUACACACACGUCAAUCAACAUGUGAAAACAGGAACCGUGUGGAAACACUAAACACUGCUCACUUGGGUCAAAUAGUCACAAACUAUGCACACACAGACACACACAUAUCAUAUGUUACAUUGAAAUACCCAAAAAUGAAACAAGAAAAAAAGAAAGUUAUAUCACACCUUUUGAACAAAAACAAAAAAUAGUUAAGAGCACCCUUAAGAAAUAAGAAUGACAAGCAAAACAGCCACUCAAAAAACUGUUUAAAAAGUUGUUAUCAGCUCUUAUUGGUGCAUCAAUUUAAUGAGCACAAAACACGCAUGGUGAUAUGUUAAUGAAUAUAUCUGGGAUCUAAUGCACCAUUAGACAGGCAGGCCUGUCAUGAAAAAGCAUCACCGCAACCACGUGCCUAGCUGACAUCAGCUGACAUGGAGAAAGGGAAGUGACUAAGAAUGUCUGGCAUUACUGUUGAACGCGAUGUGGGCUUUGUCUAAGUCGUGUGUUCCUAUGGUUAUUCAGCUCGCUGCAUUAGUCGCCGCAGCAGCCCGGCCUCAUAGAAACGACCUUCCCUUUGAACAAAAACACUGCUUUGUCGAUCACAUUGCAAGCAAAGAGUAUUCUAGAGUGAUUCCUUUUUUACAUAUCACAAAUAUAUUCAUAAUGAGUCCACCCGGGAGAAGAGAGGGUCAAAUAAACCAGGCGCCGUCAUCCAGGAGCCCGCUGUUGGUUUCCAGCAUGCGACCCCGCCCCUUUGUCUGUUUCAGGGGCUGAAUGGUUGGUUCCUCCGCUCAGGCGACAUGUUCUCUACCCACGUAAACAUAUAAGUGCCUCUUUCUUUCAGCGGCCUCGUUCAGUCCGAGGGAGAUCUAUUCUCCCCACUGGAAUGAUGCUGUUUGUGUUUGGUUUGUAUCGUGUCUUGUCCCGUGCACUGACACACACACAAACAUGUCCCAUGGGGAAGAAAUCCAUCCAUCCACCAUCAAACCGCUUAUCCUGCACACAGGGUCGCGGGGGGCUGGAGUCCAUCCCAGCCAACUUCGGGCAAGAGACAGGGUACACCUUGGACUGGUCGCCAGCCAAUCACAGGGCUACACAGAGACAUACAACCAUUCACACCUACGGGCAAUUUAGAGUCCCCAAUCAACCUGAUCCCCUGAGCAUGUCUUUGGACUGUGGGAGGAAGCCGGAGAACCCGGUGAGAGAACCCACGCAGACACGGGGAGAACAUGCAGACUCCACACAGAAAGGCCACUGGGCGGAGUCAAACCCAGGACCACCAGGACACCACUGUGCGGAAGAAAUGUUUUAUUUUAUUGUUUUAAUCCAAAGAUUAAAUAACUUGAUGUAUUUUUGUACAUGCGGGGAACCGUAGACGAGGACAGGCGGGGAACAUAGACAAGGACAGGCAGGGAACAUAGAUGAGGACAGGCGGGGAACAUAGACAAGGACAGGCAGGGAACAUAGAUGAGGACAGGCGGGGUCGGAACCAUGAUGGCGAUGAGGCAGGCGAUCAGAUCGGAGAAGGUGCAGGCAGGGAAUCAGAGGUCAAAAGACAGCCCAAGUGACCUCGUACUUUUGUACAUCUGAUCCUCAUUCGUAAUGUGUUUUUGGCGUUUGAUCAGCUUUUCAACACACACACACAGAGAUGAUAUUAUCGUUUCUCUGCCUUGUUCCCUGGAUCAGUAUUGUUCAUUUGCUCUGUUGUCGUCUGAAUUCUCUUCUUUACUAUUGAUGAACGCUUUCUCAGUUUGUGGUGCACAGUAACAACGAGCUCGGUUUGUGUGUGUUCCUCUUACAUGCAAAUUAAAUGUCCCCAUAGUAAUAACAGCCUUAUUAAAGUGCAGAUUACUUGAAUGUUAAUUAAAUUCUGCUUUAGGUUACAUUAUUAUGUAUUUAUUCUCCAAUCAAGCUGCAGUAGGCUUUAUCUCUCUUUGUACACCGUAAUCAUCUGCCACCUCACCAACCUGACUGUAGUUCCCUCUUUCCCCCUUUUCCUCAACCUCGUCUGCUCCUCUCCCUCCCCCGGCCUUUCUUCCCUCUCUCCUCUCGCUUCUCUUGUUCACUCUUUUCAGCAUAGAAAAACUCAGCGGAUGCCUACAGAUUUUGUGCUUUCCCUCCCGUGUCUAUUUAUGUGUGUGUCGUAUGUGUUUGUGCGUAUUGGCGUGGCACGGGGAGACAAAUUGGUUUGUUUGUUCACUCCUCUGCUCCGCAGCCAGAGAGGUCUUCCAGACCACUGUCCGGACAAGCUGGUCUCACCCAUGCAGAAGGUCUCCAUUCACUCCCUGUGUGUUCACACUACAACAACGUACAACGUCCAGAGCAUGAGUGUGCUUCUGUACCUGUGUGUGUGUCAGUGUGUGUGCGUGUGUGUUUGAGGGCGGGGAGGGCAGCCAUCUAACAUAGAUUUAGGAGUUUAAUUACACAUUAAAAAUGUGAUCUGUAAUAACAAUUACUGUUAACUGGUUUGCACACCGGUCUGCACAGCCGGCAACACAGUCACUGCUGGAGGGCAGGAAGGAAGCAGGUCUACGUGGGAGAAACUUUAGUAAGUCUGGUGCGCUGAAACACUACCACUUUGGUAGUACACACAGGAGACUCACAAGUUCUUGCCAAACAAGGUUGAGAGCACAUACUAUAUUCCAGUACAACAAUAUAUCAAAAGGCUCCAUUUCAGAAGUGAGGUUUUAAACAACUGACCUUCUCUCUAUGGGCAGUGCAUUCCGGAGAUUAAGAGUAGUGAUCACAAGAAUCCCCAUAUCUCAAUUUACUUAAGCUGCAGCAAUAUGUUAACAACCAUUUGAACUUUAAUUGUUAUCAAAAAAACUUAUUUCAUUAGUUGACAUGCCGGAAUGGAAAGCCGACACAUAAAAUCAAGUUAUUUCCGUUACUGGAUGUGUGAAUCCAUGUCGCAUCAAAAGAGGAAACGCUGCUUCUCAGCUGUAUUGCUAAAUUGCUCCCAGCGCAAAGAAGAAAUGGGAACCUCAGCGCGGCCCCUUGUUAAACCUCCCCAUGUGUACACCAUUCAGCAGCCAGGG
ensembl:lncRNA